CCUACGGGAGGCAGCAGUGAGGAAUAUUGGUCAAUGGGCUUACGCCUGAACCAGCCAAGUCGCGUGAGGGAAGACUGCCCUAUGGGUUGUAAACCUCUUUUGUCAGGGAGCAACGCCUGCUACGUGUAGCCGGCCUGAGAGUCCCUGAAGACAAAGCAUCGGCUAACUCCGUGCCAGCAGCCGCGGUCAUACGGAGGAUGCGAGCGUUCUCCGGAUUGAUUGGGUUUAAAGGGUGCGUAGGCGGAAUGCCAAGUCAGCGGUAAAAUCGCGGGGCUCAACCUCGCUCCGCCGUUGAAACUGGCGGGCUGGAGUGGGCGAGAAGUAGGCGGAAUGCGUGGUGUAGCGGUGAAAUGCAUAGAUAUCACGCAGAACUCCGAUUGCGAAGGCAGCAUACCGGCGCACAACUGACGCGGAAGCACGAAAGCGUGGGUAUCGAACAGGAUUAGAUACCCUGGUAGUC
rnacentral:rRNA from 1 species